GCCAGUGUGAUGUAGUGGUUUGAGUCUUGGACUAGGAUUCUGGAGGCCAAGGUUUGAAUCCCUGUUCUGUCA